rnacentral:rRNA from 1 species
AUCGAACGCUAGCGGGAUGCUUUACACAUGCAAGUCGAACGAGUGGCGGACGGGUGAGUAAUAUAUCGGAACGUGCCCAGUAGAGGGGUAUAACUACGAGAAAGAGUGGCUAAUACCGCAAACGAUUGGAGCGGCCGAGAUCGGAUUAGCUAGUCGGUGGGGUAAAGGCUCACCAAGGCAACGAUCCGUAGCUGGUUUGAGAGGACGACCAGCCACACUGGGACUGAGACACGGCCCAGACUCCUACGGGAGGCAGCAGUAGGGAAUUUUGGACAAUGGGGGAAAGCCUGAUCCAGCCAUCCCGCGUGUAUGAGAAGGCCUUCGGGUUGUAAAGUGCUUUUGGCAGAGAAGCGGUAUCUGCAGAAUAAGCCCCGGCUAACUACGUGCCAGCAGCCGCGGUAAUAC